UACAGAGGUCCCCAAGCGUUGUUCGGAUUCACUGGGCGUAAAGGGUGCGUAGGUGGUGAGGUAAGUCUGAUGUGAAAGCUUCGAGCUUAACUCGGAAAUUGCAUUGGAUACUAUCUUGCUUGAGGGUUGAGGGGGACUGGAAUUCUCGGUGUAGCAGUGAAAUGCGUAGAUAUCGAGAGGAACACCAGUGGCGAAGGCGAGUCCCUGGACAACUCCUGACACUGAGGCACGAAAGCCAGGGGAGC
rnacentral:rRNA from 1 species